UUGUCAACAUCCUCCUCUACAGUUUUUAAAAAAAAUCUUCUUAGUUUUAAUCUUCAAUAAUUAAUAUCUUUCAUUCCAUUAAAAUUAAGUUGUUCAUGACAGUGUAAGAUGCAGGUAUGAAUAUAGUUUUUACUUUAUUUAUUUCACUUCAAGUAUAUGAAUGUCAUCUAAAAAAUAUAUAAAUAGACACUAGCAAAAAAUAGCAAAAAACAUAAAACAGAAGCCUUAAAGGAAAAGACAGUUCGGUACAUGUAUUCAUUUUUCAGCACACUGUGGCCAGUGGAGGGCGCUAUGGGCCAGUGAACGUCUCUGUCUCUUGUCUUCAGUCUUUAUAAAAAUACAGUAUCAAUCUUUAAGAAAGAGUCACACAUAUGCUUCAGAUCAUAUUUACUCUGGUGGUUACUGUGAGUGACGCAUGUACAAUUAAAAGCACAGCAAGUUAUUAUGCAGAACCCUAAACUGAAAUCCCCAGAUUCAGUAUUAAAUCAGCCUGAGAGCUACUGCUUCCCUAAUCUAAUUGAAUAAAAUGGACAAGGUUUUUAAAAAAAUAGGGUCAAAUUGAUGCUGAACAGAAACAUGAUUAUUUAGUGUUGAUUGUUACAUAAUCAUGUAGGAAAUGUGACGGUCUGUCAAACAUUGGCAGAAGACGAUAAGAAAAGUUCAUUGAAAUAUUGAGCAGCAGACGUUUUAAUGGUCUAAAGCACUGUUACCAUGCUUUCAGCCAAAGAGGCUUGUUUAAUGGCUGUACCAGACAAGGACAAAGUGCUCCAAGGGAUCAGCAUCACUCUCACAGUACUUGUGGGGAAGUCGGGACAGAUUUUUUUUUCUCAUAGGUGUUGCAUAUUUCUCAUCCAGAUGUAAAUGAGACUGUGCAGCAUAUAUCUCGUGCUGCCUAUGAAUACAUUCUGGGGAAGAGUCAAGGCAGUCAUCAGUUGACAAUGUUCCACAUGGGUGUCAGCAACAAGGCGACCUCCAGCUGCGGCAGCUCAACCGAAGGUCUCCUGUGGAAGUCACUAAGAGUACAGCUCGACGAGACGGAGGACCAGGAGUUCAGAGGCGACAUGAGACGAUCAGUGUGAAUGAUGGAGGUGAAGGUGGAUCUACUUUCAGAAGACAUGGACUUCACACAACAUGAUGAGAUGUCCCCCAUUCACAGCAGGGAUCCCAAAACAAUCAACAGUAAUCUGAAGAUAACUGAUCAUCAGCAAGGACUGAACAAAUGGUCCUGUUUGAGGAUGUGAUAGCAGAACCCCCCCUCUGUGCGGAGCUUUGAUAGAGUUUGGGUGUGGAGUCACGCCCUGUUCGAGGUGUCCAGACUGUAGUGUUACCGCUCCCUGUCCCUCCUGCUGGCUGUAGCCAUGUCACUGACGGCGGGCUUCCUGUUUGCCGUGCUCAUCUGCCUCCACAUCUGGGUCAUCAUGCCCUGUCUGCAGCUUCUUCACAUCUAUAUGCACUGGAUCAAGGCUGUGUGGGCCAGCAUACUGAAUAGUGUUAUCAGUCCUUUCUUUAGCAGCUUUGGGAAGUGCAAUGUUCCAAAACUGCAUCCAAGGAUAUUUUGUGUAAUGAUCAAAUCUAAAAACGACAUGAGAAAACAAAUCUGCAACAUAAUGUUUGUCUUUUUGUUUGUAAAACAGUCCCAUGACAAAACCAGAAAGUUGCUGUUUUUUGUUGUAAUUUAACCUGGUGAGCCGUCUUUGAGGGAUAUUUAAUACGUGAAAUGUUUAAUGUUUGAUUAAUGACAUGUUUCUUUGCAGUAUGACAGGAUUUAGUUUUAGUUGGGUUCAGUUGAAAACUCUUUGCUCGAGCAUUGUGAUACUCGAAGUAUUACUUAGUCCUACACUUUCAAAAAUAGCAAUAUAGAGAGGGAAUCUCUCUUUAAAAUAAAUCAGGAGUUAAUAAAAUAGGAUGUCAUAAUAGGAUGGGUUUCAUCUGGUCAUUCCAUUUUUCCCUUUGUUUUGAGAUGAUGUGGUGAGUAUUUAAGAAGUAAUAAAAAAAACAAAGGGAGAAGAUUCUCACAUAAACGUUUUAUUGAUCAUUUUGGGAUUUUGCCAUUUGGCUCACAGUUUCAUAUAUAGUUGGGCAAAUUUUGUUUUAAAAAAAUGUAUGUAACCAUUUACAUUUGUUUUUGACAUUAUCUAAUAGAAAAACAAUCAAACUAUUCUGACUUUUUCUGAAGCACAAAACCCUUCCAAACCAUGAUAGCUCCACCGCUGUGUAACAGUAUAAGGACUCAGUGGUUUGGUUUUCUUUGUCAUGUUUUUGGUUUCCUUUGUCAGUCACUCCACUUUCAGGUUCAUGAUCCACAGCUGUCUUCAGUUCAGUUAA